rnacentral:rRNA from 1 species
GAUGAACGCUGGCGGCGUGCUUAACACAUGCAAGUCGAACGAAGCUGCUAAAAGGAAGUCUUCGGAUGGAAUUUUAGUAGACUUAGUGGCGGACGGGUGAGUAACACGUGGAUAACCUGCCUUAUACAGGGGGAUAACGGAGAGAAAUUUCCGCUAAGACCGCAUAAGACCACAGCACCGCAUGGUGCAGGGGUAAAAUAUUUAUAGGUAUAAGAUGGAUCCGCGUCCGAUUAGCUAGUUGGUGAGGUAGAGGCUCACCAAGGCGACGAUCGGUAGCCGGCCUGAGAGGGUGAACGGCCACAUUGGGACUGAGACACGGCCCAAACUCCUACGGGAGGCAGCAGUGGGGAAUAUUGGACAAUGGGGGAAACCCUGAUCCAGCGACGCCGCGUGAGUGAAGAAGUAUUUCGGUAUGUAAAGCUCUAUCAGCAGG